UACGUAGGGACCGAGCGUUGUCCGGAAUCAUUGGGCGUAAAGAGCGUGUAGGCGGCCACUUAAGUCCUGCGUGAAAUCUUGCGGCUCAACCGCAAGCGGUCGUGGGAAACUGGGUGGCUAGAGUGCGGGAGAGGAGAGUGGAAUUCCUGGUGUAGCGGUGGAAUGCGCAGAUAUCAGGAGGAACACCGGUGGCGAAGGCGGGUCUCUGGGCCGAUACUGACGCUGAGGAGCGAAAGCGUGGGGAGCGAACAGG
rnacentral:rRNA from 1 species